rnacentral:rRNA from 1 species
UGGGGAAUAUUGGACAAUGGGCGCAAGCCUGAUCCAGCCAUGCCGCGUGAGUGAAGAAGGCCCUAGGGUUGUAAAGCUCUUUCACCGGUGAAGAUAAUGACGGUAACCGGAGAAGAAGCCCCGGCUAACUUCGUGCCAGCAGCCGCGGUAAUACGAAGGGGGCUAGCGUUGUUCGGAUUUACUGGGCGUAAAGCGCACGUAGGCGGACUAUUAAGUCAGGGGUGAAAUCCCGGGGCUCAACCCCGGAACUGCCUUUGAUACUGGUGGUCUUGAGUUCGGGAGAGGUGAGUGGAAUUCCGAGUGUAGAGGUGAAAUUCGUAGAUAUUCGGAGGAACACCAGUGGCAAAGGCGGCGCACUGGCUGGAUACUGACGCUGAGGUGCGAAAGCGUGGGGAGCAAACAGG